rnacentral:lncRNA from 1 species
GCGGGGCCGGCGGGAGGCCGGGGGCGCCGGCGGGGCGGCGGGGGGCGCGGCGCGCGCGCAGUCACGUAGCCGCCUGCGGACCGGCUCGCUCGGCGCCACGUAGCGCUCGGCUCGCGAAGCUCAGCGCUUUCGAGGGAGGCGGGAUCCAGGAAGGGAAAGCUCCUCCUGACCCUGCCUCUGUUGCAUCUUUCUGGAAAUUGGGACUCCGGCUCCUUCGAACUUGUUAGACUUUUCGAAGUGUCAAGGCGAGAGAGAGCGGGAGAGCGCGCGAGCGCGCAGGGGGCCGAGAGCACGGGUUUCUCUCGUCUUGCACGGAAGGAAGCAGGUGUGGCCCCACGCGCGGGGCGCGGAGCGCGGAGGCCUCCCUCCCCUUUACCCGCACGCGCCGCCCUGGCUCCGCGCCCCGGCCUCGCGCGCCCGGCGCUUCCACUCGACCUGGUGGCUCAGGACUCCCAACAGUGCAUCGCGGAGGCCGGCGGCGUGCGGAGAGCUGACCCCACCUCUGCCACCGAGGGGGGCGCCUGGGGCGGAUCGCUUCACCUCCUGGGACGCGGAGGUUGAAACGGGAGCUCCGGGCCGGUGCCCCUCAGGGCCUUGCCCGCCCGCCCUUGUGGGGAGAGGCGAUGAUGGACUCAGACUUCCUGAGUCUCUAAGGCCUCGGCCUCCGUUGCCAGGAGAGAUGGUUUUCGGACUAGCGGUGGGAUGCAGCCUUCGGAGGAAGGACCAAUCAGCCCGAUGUCUGGGGCUGGGAUGUGGGAAGGUGAGGCUAGAACACACCUUUGCCAUCCUGCCCUCCCCCCCGCCCCAAUCAGGUGGCCUGGCAGGUGUGAAGCCCUUGAGCUCUUCAGGAGACAGUUCAGAAAUCACCAUCGUACAGGUUAGGGAUCCUUAGCGUGCUCUCCUCAAAACCCUUUCCUCUCUGGCCUCAACCCCCGUCCCACGGUCCGGACACAUAGCGACACGAUGCCCCUUCCCCUUGCCCACUCCCCGGCUCCUGGGUUCUUUCCUCCCUGCUCUCUCUAGCACGUUCUGCACACCUCCCGCGUGGCCCAUGGUGACAACUCUCGUGCCCAUUUCUCAGGCCUUGAGCGGUUUCGUUGUUGCAUUUGAUGCCACGGCCACUCCCACGUUUUUGCAACUCUUCCUUGAACCUGUGGAAUUCCAGCCUGCUCCUUCCUGGGCUUCUGUAAUGUUUUCCUCUGCUCACCCUUUGAGGCUUUCUCCCAGCCAGGGCUCUCUGUUGUUCUUAACACACAUCCUUCCCGUGUGACCUCAUCCAAACCCUCCCCUAAUACAUGAACAAUGUUGGUGCCUUGGUGAGAAAGUCAGGGUACACGGUGGCCAUGCGGUAUCCGGCCCCAGCUCUCCUCUUUGUCUCCAGCCCCUGCCAUUCCCCUGCGUGUUCCCUUCUCCAAGGUCACUCCAGAUGUCUCCCACAUUUAGAGAUUUUCAGCCCUGCCUUCACACGUGCUUGAGAGGUAGCGCAUUAACUGUUGGCGAGAAACAAAUCCCCACAAAGACUUCUUAGUGGCUCACAGAAACAGGAAUCACUUACUAUGUCUCUUGGUUCUGGCUUAGGCUCCCUCACGAGUUAAGAGGGUGGUCAAGGCCACGAUCUCCCGUGGGGUGGGAGGGGGAGCCACGUCUCAGCUGAUUCACAUGGCUGGUAGGAGAGCGCUGGCUGUUGGUGGGAAGCCUCACUUUCUCCUCGUGUGCGUUGUUUGAUAUCUUCAUGGCCUAAGAACUGGCUCCCUCCAGGUUGACAAGUAAUCCGAAGAGUAAGAUAGAAGCUGCAGGGAUUUUUAUAAUCUAGCCUCCAAGUUCAGCCAGUGUUAUCUCUGCCAUUCUCUCUUGGUCACUCAGAACAGCCCUGACCCAGUGGGAGAGAAGGCUACCCAAGGGUGUGAAUACCAGGAGGGAAGCAUCAUUGGGGGCCCUCUUAGUGUGGGCCACCUCGUUUAGUUAGCCCCUUUCUUGGUGUAAAUAACUGAGUCUUCUGUCCAUCCUCAGCUCACUGACGUACAGCCACUUCCUUUAAGAAGCCCUCCCCGUUGCUGAAUUUCUUCUGCUGCUUCCAUUAGACCUGGGGCAUAUAUCUCCAUUCCCCCCCUGUUCUAAGCUGCACUGAAAUUGUAGAUUUACUUGCUUCUCUCUUGCCUGGUCUUUGGGUUCCCUGAGGAAUAAGAGAAUGAGGAAGAAGAAGACAAUUUAAAAGCACAGGGUCCAAAAACAAUGGUGCACAGCAGAGUCUCAGUAUAAUUUAUAUAAGGAGUAAGUGAAUGGAUGAGUAGCGUUUCCUUUCCCCAACUAGAAAUGUUUUGUAUAGCACUUAAUUUCUGUCACACCCCCAUUCAGUUCUCUGCUGAUUGUUUUUCAUAUUGCA